rnacentral:rRNA from 1 species
CUACCCGCCGGCGACCGGCGCACGGGUGAGUAACACGUAUGAAACCUGCCCGUAGCAGGGGGAUAAGCGGAAGAAAUUCCGUCUAAUACCGCGUAACAACCCGAGGAGGCAUCUCCUCGGGUUUAAAGGAAGCGAUUCCGGCUACGGAUGGUCAUGCGUCGCAUUAGCUAGUUGGCGGGGUAACGGCCCACCAAGGCGACGAUGCGUAGGGGUUCUGAGAGGAAGGUCCCCCACACUGGUACUGAGACACGGACCAGACUCCUACGGGAGGCAGCAG